rnacentral:rRNA from 1 species
CCUACGGGUGGCAGCAGUGGGGAAUAUUGCGCAAUGGGCGAAAGCCUGACGCAGCGACGCCGCGUGAGGGAUGAAGGUCUUCGGAUCGUAAACCUCUGUCAGCAGGGAAGAACGGUCACUGUGCUAAUCAGCAGUGAAUUGACGGUACCUGCAAAGGAAGCACCGGCUAACUCCGUGCCAGCAGCCGCGGUAAUACGGAGGGUGCGAGCGUUAAUCGGAAUUACUGGGCGUAAAGCGAUCGUAGGCGGUAUGUCAAGUCAAGGGUGAAAUCCCCGCGCUCAACGUGGGAAGUGCCUUUGAAACUGGCAAACUGGAGUGUGUGAGAGGAUAGUGGAAUGCCAGGUGUAGGAGUGAAAUGCGUAGAGAUCUGGAGGAACAUCAGUGGCGAAGGCGACUAUCUGGCACAUAACUGACGCUGAGGAGCGAAAGCGUGGGUAGCAAACAGGAUUAGAUACCCGAGUAGUC